rnacentral:rRNA from 1 species
GACGAACGCUGGCGGCGUGCCUAAUACAUGCAAGUAGAACGCACAGUUUAUACCGUAGCUUGCUCCACCAUAGACUGUGAGUUGCGAACGGGUGAGUAACGCGUAGGUAACCUGCCUGGUAGCGGGGGAUAACUAUUGGAAACGAUAGCUAUUAACGCAUAAUAUUAAUUAUUGCAUGAUAAUUAAUUGAAAGGUGCAAUUGCACCACUACCAGAUGGACCUGCGUUGUAUUAGCUAGUAGGUGAGGUAACGGCUCACCUAGGCGACGAUACAUAGCCGACCUGAGAGGGUGAUCGGCCACACUGGGACUGAGACACGGCCCAGACUCCUACGGGAGGCAGCAGUAGGGAAUCUUCGGCAAUGGACGAAAGUCUGACCGAGCAACGCCGCGUGAGUGAAGAAGGUUUUCGGAUCGUAAAGCUCUGUUGUAAGAGAAGAACGGGUGUGAGAGUGGAAAGUUCACACUGUGACGGUAUCUUACCAGAAAGGGACGGCUAACUACGUG